ensembl:lncRNA
GAGAACACUAAGCUCAGUAACAACAGCAACAACAACCAAAAGAUCACUUUUAGUUUCCAGUUUCACUAAAAUACCUUUUCUGCUCUCUAUGUCCAUCCUGUGCCCUUCAAUAUGUAGUUAAUUAUAUCUUUUGCUACUGAAAGAUGCCACGUUGGUACAGAUUCACAGAAUUGAGUUUUAGAUCAUCUAAAUCUAUCAGACUCCUGGAGAUGCCUGGAUUCUGCAAGUUGUUUAAGAGGCUAUCUUCCCCACCCCCAUCAGCUGGACACCAGGAGAUUCCAGAGAAUGAAAAACAGCAGCAUUUUCUACAUUAAGUGGUCCUAUUACUUCAGGCUCAUCGUCUACAGAUAACUAUCACAUUUCAUGAUUAAAGAGGGCUUGCUUACUUCUGCAUCUUGCUUUGAAAACAUGAGAUUCUGCCAGUCUAACAUGUCAAGAUGAUUGCUCUCAAACACUUUUUACAGCUUGAAGCACACUGUAAGAGAAUUGCUGUGGUCAACCAACCUCUCCCUAAUCCAAAAGGAUGAGAAAGAAAGAAUAUUCUAGUGAUGCUGCAUGACUGCGAAACAUACAAGCAAAGCCAGAAGAAAUGCACAAGGAAUCAGAGACAGUCAAGGAAGGAGACCAAACUAUUAAUGGACAGUUUCAAGGCCAAACAAAAUCAUAAGCUCUUCAGGACAAGAAACCAUUCUUUUGUUAGAAUAUAUUUAUGCUGUAAUUAUGUAGUUUAGGUAUUCUAUAUGUUCAGCUUCAGUAUAUCACAUAUCCUUUCUGUAACUGUAUUUCUAUUACAUCAAUAUAUAACAUCUCUUAAAUUGGGUCUCUCAUCCAUGAAUAGAAAUUCAAAAGCUUUCAACUAUACAACAGAUAGGCUUAGAGAAAAUGAGAGAAGAGGGAGAAAAAUGCAUCCUGCAUACACUAGCUGACAAAUUUCUAAAUUAUACAAUGUUUGAAUUUAUCCCUAUCUAAAGACUGUUCAGUUUACGAUAGUUAUGAAAUUGAUUUGAAAAUAUUUUGUGCUAUCAUUUAAGCUCAUCUAAAGAAACGAACUGUUGAAUGUCUUUGUUGCUCCAGAAUCUACUAGAUUUCUAGGGAUACUUCAUAAAGACAUUGAAAAGUGCGUGUGGUGCAGCUCAACAUUUAAGAAGUUCUAUGCGGACCUGUAGAUAUCCUGUAUGUCAAAGAAGAACUCCAGAGAUCUAAGUGCAUUGUAACCCAAAACAGCAAUGAGUGAGCUAAAAAUGAGUAAAGAGUGACACAUUUAAUUUGAAGCCCUGUUGUGCAGUGCCACUGAACCAACUGCUGCAAACAACAGGUCUGGCACUUGGGUCCUUCAGAUAUCCAAGAUCUGCCUACCUACUCAAUGAGGCCCAAGACAUGUUCAAAUCAGAGAAAAAUGUGACAUUUAAACAUAUGAAUGGCAUAAUAAAACCUGCU